GCCCCCUUGGCUAAGUGGUAUAGCGUGUCACUAGUACGAAUUUCGGCAUGACAAGAUCGCUCGUUCGAUUCGGGCAGGGGGCA
rnacentral:tRNA from 1 species